GUACGCUGGCGGCACGCCUAACACAUGCAAGUCGAACGCAGUAGCAAUACUGAGUGGCAAACGGGUGAGUAUAAUGUGGGAAUCUGCCUUUUGGUUUGGAAUAACACGGGGAAACUUGUGCUAAUACCGGAUAAGCCCUUACGGGGAAAGUUUUAACGCCGAAAGAUGAGCCUGCACUUGAUUAGCUAGUUGGUAAGGUAAAAGCUUACCAAGGCAACGAUCAAUAGCUGUUCUUAGAGGAAGACCAGCCACAUUGGGACUGAGACACGGCCCAGACUCCUACGGGAGGCAGCAGUGGGGAAUCUUGCACAAUGGGGGAAACCCUGAUGCAGCGAUGCCGCGUGAGUGAAGAAGGCCCUUGGGUUGUAAAACUCUUUCGUCGGGGAAGAAAAUGACUGUACCCGAAUAAGAAGGUCCGGCUAACU
rnacentral:rRNA from 1 species